rnacentral:rRNA from 1 species
CGGCAACAGCUCAAAUUUGAAAUCUGGCUCUUAAUCAGGAGUCCGAGUUGUAAUUUGUAGAGGAAUUUUCGGGUGCGGUACCGGCCUAAGUUCCUUGGAACAGGGCGUCAUAGAGGGUGAGAAUCCCGUAUGCGGCCGGCCUCCAAGCCUAUAGGAAAAUCCUUCGAC